UUUACAUACAUGGGUUUUUCUUCUGGAAAGAGUGUUCCUCAAAUAAAAGAAGAUGUUAAAAGAGAUUUCCUCCCAGCCUUUGUUUUAGAAGGGGGCAUAUGGCCAAUUGUUCAGGUUGCAAAUUUUCGGUUUAUACCUGUGAGAACUCUCAAUUUAUUCUCGGAGUUGCCAGAUGUUGGAAGUUCAUGUUGGAAAACAAGUGACUAAUUCAUAUUGCUUGUAAACACCCUCCAGACUUUCAGAAUUGAAUUUCUGAAAUUGAUGAAAUUGCUUUCACAUGAUUUACAUGAUUAAUGAUUUUCAUCUUGAAUACAAGUUGACACAUUUUUUUCCAUUGAAUAAAUUGAAAGCUAUGUUGGCUUAUCACUUUCUAGUCUUUGUUCGGUCGUCUAUAUUCUAGUUUUACCAAUGAUGUUCUCAACAACCAGUAUCUAUUAUUAGCUGUGCUUAUCUUUCACUUCAUAUUGUCAGGUGGAGAAUAAUCCCUGGGCACACAACAUAAAUCGGGACUACUUUCACAUCGUUGUCUUUUUAUUUUGACAAAAUUUAGAUUUAGCUCUUUUAAGUGUUUCUUUUAUGAUAUCUUCUGCUUAGAAUUGAUGUUUUAUCUCA